rnacentral:rRNA from 1 species
UACGUAGGGUGCGAGCGUUGUCCGGAAUUACUGGGCGUAAAGAGCUUGUAGGUGGUUUGUCGCGUUGUUCGUGAAAUCUCACGGCUCAACUGUGAGCGUGCGGGCGAUACGGGCAGACUAGAGUACUGCAGGGGAGACUGGAAUUCCUGGUGUAGCGGUGGAAUGCGCAGAUAUCAGGAGGAACACCGGUGGCGAAGGCGGGUCUCUGGGCAGUAACUGACGCUGGAGAAGCGAAAGCGUGGGGAGCGAACAGG